AAACUUUUGAUGGCGACCGGCGCACGGGUGAGUAACACGUAUCCAACCUGCCUCAUACUCGGGGAUAGCCUUUCGAAAGAAAGAUUAAUACCCGAUGUCAUAGUCCUACCGCAUGAUGGGAUUAUUAAAGAAUUUCGGUAUGGGAUGGGGAUGCGUUCCAUUAGUUAGUUGGCGGGGUAACGGCCCACCAAGACAACGAUGGAUAGGGGUUCUGAGAGAAAGGUCCCCCACAUUGGAACUGAGACACGGUCCAAACUCCUACGGAAGGCAGCAG
rnacentral:rRNA from 1 species